GCACAAGCCCCGAUCGCUCCUUCGGAUGAGGAUGUAGUCAAUCUGAGUCCUCGCCGCCGAACUCUUGAAGGUAACCAAAUGCUCCUCCCUCUUCCGGAAAGCCGAGUUCGCAAUCAGGAGCUCGGAAGCCUUGGCGCAAUCAGGAGCUCGGAAGCCUUGGCGAAAUCAAGCAGCGAAGUGCCUCCUCCGUUCCUGGCACCAAAUCCAAAGCCCCCGUGCACCUCAUCAUACCCACCAGCCUCAGCCCCAUUAUGGCCAUUAAAGUCCCCUCCAAUAACUAACUUCUCAGACUGGGGAAUGCUCCCCACCAGAU
rnacentral:lncRNA from 1 species